GUGCCUAAUACAUGCAAGUAGAACGCUGAGGACUGGUGCUUGCACCGGUUCAAGGAGUUGCGAACGGGUGAGUAACGCGUAGGUAACCUACCUCAUAGCGGGGGAUAACUAUUGGAAACGAUAGCUAAUACCGCAUGACAAUGGAGGACCCAUGUCUUUCAUUUAAAAGGUGCAACUGCAUCACUAUGAGAUGGACCUGCGUUGUAUUAGCUAGUUGGUGAGGUAACGGCUCACCAAGGCGACGAUACAUAGCCGACCUGAGAGGGUGGACGGCCACACUGGGACCGAGACACGGCCCAGACUCCUACGGGAGGCAGCAGUAGGGAAUCUUCGGCAAUGGACGGAAGUCUGACCGAGCAACGCCGCGUGAGUGAAGAAGGUUUUCGGAUCGUAAAGCUCUGUUGUUAGAGAAGAAUGAUGGUGGGAGUGGAAAAUCCACCAUGUGACGGUAACUAACCAGAAAGGGACGGCAAACUACGUGCCAGCAGCCGCGGUAAUACGUAGGUCCCGAGCGUUGUCCGGAUUUAUUGGGCGUAAAGCGAGCGCAGGCGGUUCUUUAAGUCUGAAGUUAAAGGCAGUGGCUCAACCACUGUACGCUUUGGAAACUGGAGAACUUGAGUGCAGAAGGGGAGAGUGGAAUUCCAUGUGUAGCGGUGAAAUGCGUAGAUAUAUGGAGGAACACCGGUGGCGAAAGCGGCUCUCUGGUCUGUAACUGACGCUGAGGCUCGAAAGCGUGGGGAGCAAACAGGAUUAGAUACCCUGGUAGUCCACGCCGUAAACGAUGAGUGCUAGGUGUUAGGCCCUUUCCGGGGCUUAGUGCCGGAGCUAACGCAUUAAGCACUCCGCCCGGGGAGUACGACCGCAAGGUUGAAACUCAAAUGAAUUGACGG
rnacentral:rRNA from 1 species